UUAAUUGAAGCCAAAUUAAGAGGCACCUUAUUGUUAAUAAGGUAAAUGAUAAAUAAUCCAGUUAAA
rnacentral:tRNA from 1 species